rnacentral:rRNA from 1 species
AACGAACGCUGGCGGCAGGCCUAACACAUGCAAGUCGAGCGACGACUUCGGUCCUAGCUGCGGACGGGUGAGUCACGCGUGGGAACGUGCCCUUUGCCUCGGAAUACCCCUGGGAAACUGGGAGUAAUACCGGAUGAGCCCUUUGGGGGCAAGAUACAUCGUCGAAGGAUCGGCCCGCGUUGGUUUAGCUGGUCGGUGGGGUAAAGGCCUACCAAGGCGACGAUCCAUAGCUGGUCUGAGAGGCUGAUCAGCCACACUGGAACUGAGACACGGUCCAGACUCCUACGGGAGGCAGCAGUGGGGAAUAUUGGAAAAUGGGCGCAAGCCUGAUCGAGCCAUACCGCGUGGGUGAAGAAGGCCUUAGGGUUGUAAAGCCCUUUUGUUGGGAAAGAAAAGCAGCAGGUUAAUACCCCGCUGUUCUGACGGUACCCAAAGAAUAAGCACCGGCUAACUUCGUG